AAGGCUCCUGCUUGCAGGGGUACUCGAGUGGCGAACGGGUGAGUAACACGUGGGUGAUCUGCCUUGUACUUCGGGAUAAGCCUGGGAAACUGGGUCUAAUACCGGAUAGGACCAUGCUUUAGUGUGUGUGGUGGAAAGUUUUUUCGGUACAAGAUGAGCCCGCGGCCUAUCAGCUUGUUGGUGGGGUAAUGGCCUACCAAGGCGACGACGGGUAGCCGGCCUGAGAGGGUGUACGGCCACAUUGGGACUGAGACACGGCCCAGACUCCUACGGGAGGCAGCAGUGGGGAAUAUUGCACAAUGGGCGCAAGCCUGAUGCAGCGACGCCGCGUGAGGGAUGACGGCCUUCGGGUUGUAAACCUCUUUCGCUAGGGAAGAAGCCAUUUGGUGACGGUACCUGGAUAAGAAGCACCGGCUAACUACGUGCCAGCAGCCGCGGUAAUACGUAGGGUGCAAGCGUUGUCCGGAAUUACUGGGCGUAAAGAGCUCGUAGGUGGUUUGUCGCGUCGUCUGUGAAAUCCCGGGGCUUAACUCCGGGCGUGCAGGCGAUACGGGCAUAACUGGAGUGCUGUAGGGGAGACUGGAAUUCCUGGUGUAGCGGUGAAAUGCGCAGAUAUCAGGAGGAACACCGAUGGCGAAGGCAGGUCUCUGGGCAGUAACUGACGCUGAGGAGCGAAAGCAUGGGUAGCGAACAGGAUUAGAUACCCUGGUAGUCCAUGCCGUAAACGGUGGGCGCUAGGUGUGGGGAUCUUUCUACGAUUUCCGUGCCGUAGC
rnacentral:rRNA from 1 species